AUGUUCUGACUCAGCUCAAUUGAUCAAAUUAAUUGUGUUUCCAGGCCUCAGCAGCAAUUAAGCGCUACAUGGCGCUGGGCAAUGGCCUGAACGCCACGGCCCUGGAUGCCAUUGGCACCAAGUACGUGUGCCUGCUGAAUGCCACCCAGCUGGAGCCCAUCCACCCCUCCGUCCUCAAAGUGGUAUCUCUGGAUCCUUCAGCCUGUUCCCAGGAGACGAAGAACAUCUUGUACCAGAAAGCCAAAGAAGCUUUCUCUGACCAGCAGCAUUUACCUGCUUAUUAUGAGCUGAUUUUACCUUACCUGGGGGGGGCUCCUGCUGCAGAUCUCAAGGCUCUCAGCAAGAAGGACGUGAACAUGAACGUGAGCACCUUUGUGACUUUGAGAAGAGACUCCGUGAUGGUGAGCUGGCCUUUGGAAUUCUUUCAUUCCCUGCAUUUUGUUGUG
rnacentral:lncRNA from 1 species